AACAUGGAGACGUACUGAAGGCCAGGCUUCAUGUGUCUGUCUCCAUAGUAACCAAUAUGAACCGAUGAGUUCAAAAUGUAUUUUUUACAUGUGAUUCUGUGAAAUAAUAGAAGACAGAAAAGAGGUUUGAAUGUUUGUUUUGUGUUUGCAGGUUUGCUGAGGUCCAUUAUUGUCUCUGUGGGUUUAGCAGCACUCAUCAUAACUGCUGUGACAGUCUGUCUGUGGACCAGAGCUAAAGGGACUCAAAGGCAGAAGGAUGAAGGCAGAG
rnacentral:lncRNA from 1 species